rnacentral:rRNA from 1 species
GACGAACGCUGGCGGCGUGCUUAACACAUGCAAGUCGAACGAUGAAGCUGGAGCUUGCUCCGGUGGAUUAGUGGCGAACGGGUGAGUAACACGUGAGUAAUCUGCCCUCGACUCUGGGAUAACUGCGGGAAACUGUAGCUAAUACCGGAUACGACACCUUCGGGCAUCCGAUGGGUGUGGAAAGAAUUUCGGUCAAGGAUGAACUCGCGGCCUAUCAGCUAGUUGGUGAGGUAAUGGCUCACCAAGGCGACGACGGGUAGCCGGCCGGAGGGGGUGACCGGCCACACUGGGACUGAGACACGGCCCAGACUCCUACGGGAGGCAGCAGUGGGGAAUAUUGCACAAUGGGCGAAAGCCUGAUGCAGCAACGCCGCGUGAGGGAUGAAGGCCUUCGGGUUGUAAACCUCUUUUAGUUGGGAAGAAGCGAAAGUGACGGUACCAACAGAAAAAGCACCGGCUAACUACGUGCCAGCAGCCGCAGUAA